rnacentral:rRNA from 1 species
UACGGAGGAUGCGAGCGUUAUCCGGAUUUAUUGGGUUUAAAGGGUGCGUAGGCGGAACAUUAAGUCAGCGGUAAAAUCGAGGGGCUCAACCCCUUUAAGCCGUUGAAACUGGGGGCCUUGAGUGGGCGAGAAGAAGGCGGAAUGCGUGGUGUAGCGGUGAAAUGCAUAGAUAUCACGCAGAACCCCGAUUGCGAAGGCAGCCUUCCGGCGCCCUACUGACGCUGAGGCACGAAAGUGCGGGGAUCGAACAGG